UUAUUAAACUUGAUUUAAUAUAUAUAGUUGAUUUUCUAGAAUUUUCUUGUUGCUACUAAGUUUCUAGACUAUUCUUAUAUUUACUAAAGUAGGUGCGUCUAGAGUCUUCUUGUUUGUUUAAGUACUCUUGAACUUUCUAGAAUUAUUUUUCACUUGUGUUAGUAGAGGGAAUUAUGUAGAAAAAUAUAGAAGCUAGUCAUUUAAUAAUGUUUCUAGAUUAGUCUAUAGAGUCCUAUAAAUAGAGAUGUAAUUCUAUCAUUUUGUACCAAGUCACAAAUCACACAAGUUGAGAUAUAAAAUAUAGCUUCUUCCAUUCAAGUAUUCUCUCCAAAGCUCUUCUUAUUUUCCAACAAAGUGAUACCAGAGCCAAGUUUGUGAAGAAAAAUGGCAAGUGGAGGAAUGAUCCCCUUCGAAGUUCCAAUGCUCACCAAGAGCAACUAUGACAAUUGGAGUAUUAAGAUGAAGGCGCUACUAGGAGAUCAAGAUGUAUGGGAUAUUGUUGAGAAAGGUCAUAAGGAGCAAGACGAUGUGUUGCUCUUUCCCAAGCUCAACGAGAUGCGUUAAGGGAUUCAAGAAAGAGGGACAAGAAAGCUCUCUACCUCAACUAUCAAGCGGUGGAUGAAGAUGCAUUCGAGAAGGUCUCAAAUGCAACAACGGCCAAAGAAGCGUGGGAGAAGCUUCAAGCUUGCAACAAAGGAGCGGAGCAAGUGAAAAAGAUUUGUCUUGAAGCUCUUAGAGCCCAACCUUUGAGUCAUUGCUACAAUCAUUGAAAAGAAUACAGAUUAAGAAUCCAUGACUAUUGAGCAACUCCUGGGUUCUUUACAAGCACACGAGGAGAAACAAAAAAGAAAAAACAAGCGAAAGGAGAAGAUGGAGCAAUUACUAAAGCUCACAUUGGAAGAAGAAAAUUCUAACAACAGUAAAGAUCAAAAA